UGGGGGACGCGAUCCCUGCUCUCCGGGGGCAAAGCGCGGCGCGGUCCCCUCUCAGGAGCCUCCGCGCAGAGGAAUGCAGCCCCGGGAGACCCUGGAGCAGAGAGAAGCCGAAAUGCCUCGCUAGGCACAUGCCCAGGAGACGGUCCGUUGCCCGGCGGGACGGGGAGAACUGCUCGUCGGAAUCGCGGGAGACGCGCGCCUGGCGGGGCCCCCGUUGCAGCAGCCCCGGCACAGAGGGAAAGGGGUAACAUUCCCGGCCCUGGGACAGAAGGGGGGCACCUUCCGCCCAUCCCUUUUCUCUUUGCCUUGAUUCCCAAGCAGCAGAUUGGCCGAACGCCGAGAAGCACGUGGCUCCAUCCGCCCCUUCAUCAAGAGCAGGAGGGCGCAAAGUGAGGAAGGAAUCGAAAAUGCAGCACAGAAACCAGGCUUGGAAAACUGGCAGCCAGCGCUUUCUUGGGAUGCUCAUGGCUGCUCCCCAGCACAGGGCCACGUCCUACUGCGGCAAUGGCUAGCUGGCCGGCAUCGCUCCUUCUCCGAGCCCAGAGGGGCCAUGGGGGCUGCUGGCUUACGUCAGCCGACUGGCCUGAGACUGGACCGCCUGGAGACCAUUGAUGCCGUGGGAGGAGCGCGCCCAGGUGCCCCUGCUGCUGAAGGAAAGCGGGGGAGUUGCUUGAAGUUGUUACUCUGGCUGUCUCUGUGUACUUCUGUUAAUCUUGUUACUCCCUUCUAUACCAUAUGUCCUUGUAGGAAGAAAACAGACUUCCUUAUUUCUAAGUUUUCAGUUUUAGAAUAUGGGUUCAGUGUGUAAUAGAAUGUUUAUGUUUUAGUAGCGCUGGUGAAAACCCAGCAUGGAUUUCUUACACCUGGAACAUGUUAUAUGUCUGGAUUCACACCGAGGACCAGGUAAAACAGGCAUGCAGAUUACAGAAGGGCAUGCACAUGCUGUCCCAGAUCAGCUAAAGGAGAG